rnacentral:tRNA from 1 species
ACCUGGGUGGCUCAGUCAGUUGAGCGUCUGACUUUGGCUCAGAUCAUGAUCUCAUAGUUCAUGGGUUCAAGCCCCACGUCAGGCU